rnacentral:rRNA from 1 species
AGGACGAACGCUGGCGGCGUGCUUAACACAUGCAAGUCGAACGGUGAAGCCUUCGGGUGGAUCAGUGGCGAACGGGUGAGUAACACGUGAGCAAUCUGCCCUUGACUCUGGGAUAACUUCGGGAAACCGGAGCUAAUACCGGAUAUGACAUCUGGCCGCAUGGUCUGGGUGUGGAAAGAUUUAUCGGUCAAGGAUGAGCUCGCGGCCUAUCAGCUUGUUGGUGGGUAAUGGCCCACCAAGGCGACGACGGGUA